ensembl:lncRNA
CGGGAAGAGAAAGAAAUGCAAGGAUGUUCUCCAGUUGCAAUCCAACAUAGCUAGCUAAUUUAUAUGAAAUUUCAUUUUGGAGAAGGAACGUAGACCGGAGGCGGACUGCAGACUCCUGCCAGACCUGUUGUAGUAGGAGCAAGGGGGAGGGCAGUGGCAGAGGGCGGUGGCGGACGCCGCCUGGAAGAAGCAUAUCAUCGCGGAAUAGCUGCAGUUGGAGAGGGGGUGGGAGGCUGUUUGCUGUCCUGUACAGGGAGAAGUCCCAGCGUGUUUGGGAGAAGUGGGAGGCAGAGUAGGAGAGGAGAGCCAGGGAGAGGCUCAUUCAGGAGGCUCUUGCAGAUGGAGCUCAAGAUGCAGGAGAACCGUCAGGCUCAGGAUGAGUCUCUGAGGAGGCGGGGGGAGGGCUGAUCCAGGAGCUGGAGAGGCAGACCAGACGCCGAGAGGGUGGAGGAAGAGGGCCAAAGGACGGCGAACAGGAACAGCAUGUGUUGACUGGGGUCAGUUGUUGGCCUGGGUUAGAUUGAGUGGAGGGAGGCCCAAUGAUGUGGCUCAUUGUUCUCUCUCCCCUGCAGGUGAAGGCGAGGGAUGCCCAAAGUCUGCAGGAGGAUGAGCAGAGGCUGGAGACUCAUAGGAUGGCCCAGCAGAGCUACCAGGACAAGAUUUGUAGCAGACCUCGAUCAGCCUGGACGUGAGGCCAAAAGACACUCCACAAUCAUGUUUUUAUACAAAUAAUUAUUCUUAAUGGGUUUAAAAUGUGUCAAGUAUUCCUACACCAUGCUUAUAUCAGCUGCUGC